rnacentral:rRNA from 1 species
GACGAACGCUGGCGGCGUGCCUAAUACAUGCAAGUAGAACGCUGAAGGAGGAGCUUGCUCUUCUGGAUGAGUUGCGAACGGGUGAGUAACGCGUAGGUAACCUGCCUGGUAGCGGGGGAUAACUAUUGGAAACGAUAGCUAAUACCGCAUAAGAGUAGAUGUUGCAUGACAUUUGCUUAAAAGGUGCAAUUGCAUCACUACCAGAUGGACCUGCGUUGUAUUAGCUAGUUGGUGGGGUAACGGCUCACCAAGGCGACGAUACAUAGCCGACCUGGGAGGGGGAUCGGCCACACUGGGACUGAGACACGGCCCAGACUCCUACGGGAGGCAGCAGUAGGGAAUCUUCGGCAAUGGACGGAAGUCUGACCGAGCAACGCCGCGUGAGUGCAGAAGGUUUUCGGAUCGUAAAGCUCUGUUGUAAGAGAAGAACGAGUGUGAGAGUGGAAAGUUCACACUGUGACGGUAUCUUACCAGAAAGGGACGGCUAACUACGUG